UCUCUGAGCUUGCUUUUUUUCUUGCAGAUAUUUCAUUAUCCAAACUAGAUUACAAAAGGAGUGGACAAGAGGAGGAAGAAGAGAGAGGGAGAGGAGAAGGCUGUCUGUUUUGGCAACAUACCCAAGAUGACACUAGAAACUACUGUUCAACGCCAUCCAAAACAGAAUGAGAUUGAAAUCUAAUUUAGACAUUGGAAGAUUGGAUUAAGAGGAAUAAGAAAUCUUUCAAUAAGGAGAAAUGAAAGGUAUUACAUUUACAGAGAA